GCAGUCGAGCGACAGAUAAGGAGCUUGCUCCUUUGACGUUAGCGGCGGACGGGUGAGUAACACGUGGAUAACCUACCUAUAAGACUGGGAUAACUUCGGGAAACCGGAGCUAAUACCGGAUAACAUAUUGAACCGCAUGGUUCAAUAGUGAAAGGCGGCUUUGCUGUCACUUAUAGAUGGAUCCGCGCCGUAUUAGCUAGUUGGUAAGGUAACGGCUUACCAAGGCAACGAUACGUAGCCGACCUGAGAGGGUGAUCGGCCACACUGGAACUGAGACACGGUCCAGACUCCUACGGGAGGCAGCAGUAGGGAAUCUUCCGCAAUGGGCGAAAGCCUGACGGAGCAACGCCGCGUGAGUGAUGAAGGUCUUCGGAUCGUAAAACUCUGUUAUCAGGGAAGAACAAAUGUGUAAGUAACUGUGCACAUCUUGACGGUACCUGAUCAGAAAGCCACGGCUAACUACGUGCCAGCAGCCGCGGUAAUACGUAGGUGGCAAGCGUUAUCCGGAAUUAUUGGGCGUAAAGCGCGCGUAGGCGGUUUUUUAAGUCUGAUGUGAAAGCCCACGGCUCAACCGUGGAGGGUCAUUGGAAACUGGAAAACUUGAGUGCAGAAGAGGAAAGUGGAAUUCCAUGUGUAGCGGUGAAAUGCGCAGAGAUAUGGAGGAACACCAGUGGCGAAGGCGACUUUCUGGUCUGUAACUGACGCUGAUGUGCGAAAGCGUGGGGAUCAAACAGGAUUAGAUACCCUGGUAGUCCACGCCGUAAACGAUGAGUGCUAAGUGUUAGGGGGGUUUCCGCCCCUUAGUGCUGCAGCUAACGCAUUAAGCACUCCGCCUGGGGGAGUACGACCGCAAGGUUGAAACUCAAAGGAAUUGACGGGGACCCGCACAAGCGGUGGAGCAUGGGGGUUUAAUUCGAAGCAACGCGAAGAACCUUACCAAAUCUUGACAUCCUUUUGACCGCUCUAGAGAUAGAGUCUUCCCCUUCGGGGGACAAAGUGACAGGUGGUGGCAUGGGUUGUCGUCAGCUCGUGUCGUGAGAAUGUUUGGGGUUAAGUCCCCGCAACGAACCGCAACCCUUUAAGCUUAGUUGCCAUCAUUAAGUUGGGCACUCUAAGUUGACUGCCG
rnacentral:rRNA from 1 species